rnacentral:tRNA from 1 species
GCGCGGCUAGCUCAGCUGGAUAGAGCGUCGGCCUCCGGAGCCGAAGGUCGUGGGUUCGAAUCCCGCGCCGCGUACCA